GAGAGAAGAUGGCAAAGAGAGCAAGCGGGUAUCAACACAAGUGCAGCGAGCGUGCAACAACUCUUUCCUCAAUCCACUGCCUCCUCUCCCCCAAUCUCCCAAUCCUGCCUCUUCUACUUCUCCUUGGGUCCUACGCCUGCUGCCCUCCCCCCAAGCCGCUUCCCUCUCUCCUUUUCGAGCUUAGGAAGGAGGAGGGAUGUGAAGGGGAUAAGUGGGGUGUGACAGAGAAGGAGAGCGAGGCGGCGGCUCGAGCCAAGGAGCACAACCUCGAUCUGGGCUUAGGAGGAGGAGAGGUGUAAUAACCGCAGCACGGCCAUGGUCCGGCCUCAGCAUGAGGAGCUAGAGUGAGGAGCGCGGCCUCAAUCCGGACUCAAUAGGAGUCAGCAAGAGAGGAGUAGCAACCAUAGCGCGACCUCGGUCCGGCCUCGACAGAAGCAGAUCGAGCAGAGGGGCAAGGCCUCGACUUAGAACCAGGGGAGGAAGAGAGGAGCAGCAGCACGGGGAGAAGAAAACAAUGGGGUGUGGUCUUCUAGAGGUGCAUCUGGUCUAUGCCAAGGGCCUCUCCAGCAGUGAUUUCCUUGGGAAUAUAGACCCGUGGUCGUUAGGUGCCGGAGCCAGGAGCACAAGGGAAACACCACCUGAGAUCGACCACCUCAGAUGGUGCUGAAAAGGGUGGAAAGCAGUCUCCAUUAGAUGUUGGAAAUAUGCCCUAGAGGGCAUAUUUCCAACACCUAGCAUGUACAGACAUGGCCUCAGAACACAAGAUACCGAAAGGUAGAACAUGAGUUACAUAGUAGAUAUGGUCAACAUGAAGAUGUUCACCAUUGAAACCACCUCUUCUCACAUGAUGAUCAGACUUGGGUUUGUGGGUUUGGAUC